rnacentral:rRNA from 1 species
CACGUCGGGCGCAAGCGUUGUCCGGAAUUAUUGGGCGUAAAGAGCUCGUAGGCGGUUUGUUGCGUCCGCUGUGAAAACUCGGGGCUUAACCCCGAGCCUGCAGUGGAUACGGGCAGACUAGAGGUAGGUAGGGGAGAAUGGAAUUCCCGGUGUAGCGGUGAAAUGCGCAGAUAUCAGGAGGAACACCGAUGGCGAAGGCAGGUCUCUGGGCAUUAACUGACGCUGAGGAGCGAAAGCAUGGGGAGCGAACAGG